CAUUUUUCCUUUUCGUCCCGGCUGGCCUGCCCGGAGGCUCUUUCCUCUCAAUAAAGCCUGAACUUAAGGAAUUUCCUCUAGCCUGCGGUCCGGUUUUUUCCGAACGAGCUCAGUCUUCCCGCAGAGGGUAGGUCGGACAAAUGGUGCCGAAACCCGGGACGGGAGCUGAGGCCGUUGGCCCGGCCACGGCCCCCCUCCCCGACCUACCCAACACUGGCCCUGCCACCUCCACUUUCCGAUUAAGGCUGGAUUGAAGCCUCUGAGUCUGCCGGGACAGUAGCCACUCAUCUCAUUCAAGACAUCAUCCCACGCUUUGGACUCCCAGCUACCAUACAGUCAGACAACGGCCUAGCCUUUAUCUCCAAAGUCACUAAUGCCGUUUCUACCUCUCUAGGAAUUCAGUAGAAGCUACAUGCCGCCUACCAUCCCCAGUCCUCUGGUAAGGUAGAACGGGCCAAUGGCCUAAUAAAGGAGCAUCUGACCAAGCUCAUGCUUGAGCUCCGCCAAUCCUGGGUAACCUUACUUCCUAUCGCCCUCACCAGAGUAAGAGCAAGCCCCCGGGGCCCAUCACAGCUUAGCCCAUUUGAGCUGCUGUAUGGUUGCCCCUUCCUGCUUUCAACUCCCCCACCGCCAGAGACUACUCCUCUAGACAGCUACCUCCCCUACUUUACUCAGGAUUAGGAGGAGGGGCACUAGUCCACUCUCACCUGGCCAUAGCCCGACUGACCUCACAACUCCAAGCGGCUAUUGAUGACUCUACUGAGUCUUUAGCAUCACUCCAACGACAGAUCACCUCAGUUGCCCAAGUUGCCUUGCAGAACCGAAGAGCCCUGGACCUGCUCACUGCUGAACGAGGAGGGACCUGUAUCUUCCUACAGGAAGAGUGCUGUUACUACAUCAAUGAAUCCGGCCUAGUAGAAACCCGAAUCGAGAGCCUCCAGAAACUCAAAACUAACCUGCAGAGUCAGAAGUUCUCGGCUGAAGCCACGGCGUGGUGGUCUUCCUCUAUGUAUACCCUCUUGUCCCCAUUGCUUGGGCCCCUAGUAGCUGUUUGCCUAAUCUUACUUAUUGCUCCUUGCUUUCUACAGUUCCUAUAGCGGCGCUUUCAAGAACUGACUCGAGUCACCAUCCACCAGAUGCUGCUCCAACCCUACCCUGAACGAGUGCAAGAAACAGACCUCUCCCCGAACAUCCAGGCUCGUUAAGAAAAGAGACCUCUUCAGAACCCCCAUCGACCCUUGUCAGCAGGAAGUAGCUAGAGAGACAACCGACGCCCCUGACCCCCUCUUUUUCUUUUCUUUAAGGAGUCGGGAAUGUUUGGAAAACUCUGCCCCUACCGCAAAAGCUCUCUCUCUCUCUCUUUCCCUCCCCCACAAAGAGGCUCCCUUAUCUCUCACUUUACAUACCGGCCAUAGCCCUCCCGCCGCCCAGCUUCCCGCCGCCCAGCUUCCCGCCCAGCAGUUCAAACUGACCAACAGUUGCCCACCACCUCGGCUUUUGGCUUCCCCACCCCCAGCCCUUCAGCCCCCUAUAAAACAACCCUGCCCCUUUGAGCGGCGCGGCCAUUUUUCCUUUUCGUCCCGGCUGGCCUGCCCGGAGGCUCUUUCCUCUCAAUAAAGCCUGAACUUAAGGAA